rnacentral:lncRNA from 1 species
ACCUUUCAUAUUAAUGAAAUAAUACAAUAAAUCAUGUACUCGGUAUGUUAUUAGAGAUCCACCAUUGUUUCUUGCUUGAGCCCAGAAUUCUAGCUAGAAAUAAAUUAACUGUGAUAAACUUUUGCAGGAAACUGAUUUCGACACUACUUACACAUAACAGAAUAUAUCACCGUUAAAUUCUUCCUCUGUUGAGAAUACAUAAAACCUUAAAAACUAUAUUUUCAAAAGAACUUGCCACCGUUUUAUUUGGAUAGGGAAGCAUAGGAAGAAACCGAAAAGCUAAUGAACAGCUAGUAUUUUUUAUAAUUGGUUUUUACAAAUAAACCUAAGUCGAUUAUACAUUUUUCACUCUGAGCGUAACCUAAAAUAAAUAAAAUACUAAACAUGGAAAACAACAACAUUUCCUGGAAUGUUAACUUGGCCAAAUAAAUUGAUUAAUUGCGACUUACGUUGGCAACAAAAUCUUUUUGACACUGUUACCACUUAAAACAAAAUAAACCAGCAUUGGCUUUCCUCUGUUGAGAUCAAGAAAAACCCCAGAAGUUGCAUUUUUCGGCUUAGGGAUUUUAUUUUUCCGCUGAAUAUCAAGAGACAGGUUGCGUCCAUUAGGACUUGAAGUCCGUUCAAAUUUUUUGAUGUUUUAGUUGUGUGUGAGGGAGGGCUGUUCAUGAUAACAUUAUGGGCAUGUUUAAAACAAAAAACAGGCUAAGUGCAGCUCAACACUCAAAAGUACCAACAUUAGUGUCAGGAAACAAGUAAAACAAACUACUAAUAAAGUCAUUAACAAUUAGAAAUGUUAUGUUUCCGAAGAUAUUUAAGGAAACAAAAUAAACCAGCAUUGGCUUUCCUCUGUUGAGAUCAAGAAAAACCCCAGAAGUUGCAUUUUUCGGCUUAGGGAUUUUAUUUUUCCGCUGAAUAUCAAGAGACAGGUUGCGUCCAUUAGGACUUGAAGUCCGUUCAAAUUUUUUGAUGUUUUAGUUGUGUGUGAGGGAGGGUUGUUCAUGAUAACAUUAUGGGCAUGUUUAAAACAAAAAACAGGCUAAGUGCAGCUCAACACUCAAUAGUACCAACAUUAGUGUCAGGAAACAAGUAAAACAAACUACUAAUAAAGUCAUUAACAAUUAGAAAUGUUAUGUUUCCGAAGAUAUUUAAGGAAAUAAAAUGAAUAAAUUACCUCA